rnacentral:rRNA from 1 species
GACGAACGCUGGCGGCGUGCUUAACACAUGCAAGUCGAACGGAAAGGCCCUGCUUUUGUGGGGUGCUCGAGUGGCGAACGGGUGAGUAGCACGUGAGUAACCUGCCCUUGACUUUGGGAUAACUUCAGGAAACUGGGGCUAAUACCGGAUAGGAGCUCCUGCUGCAUGGUGGGGGUUGGAAAGUUUCGGCGGUUGGGGAUGGACUCGCGGCUUAUCAGCUUGUUGGUGGGGUAGUGGCUUACCAAGGCUUUGACGGGUAGCCGGCCUGAGAGGGUGACCGGCCACAUUGGGACAGAGAAAGGGGCAAGACGGCUACGGGAGGCAGGAGUGAGAAAUAGAGCACGAUGGGCGGAAGCAGGAUGCAGCAACGCCGCGUGCGAGAUGACGGCCUUCGGGUUGUAAACCGCUUUCGCCUGUGACGAAGCGUGAGUGACGGUAAUGGGUAAAGAAGCACCGGCUAACUACGUG